rnacentral:rRNA from 1 species
CCUACGGGUGGCAGCAGUGAGGAAUAUUGGUCAAUGGGCGAGAGCCUGAACCAGCCAAGUCGCGUGAAGGAUGACGGCUCUACGGGUUGUAAACUUCUUUUGUCAGGGAGCAAUUGAGUCCACGUGUGUGCUUAUCGAGAGUACCUGAAGAAAAAGCAUCGGCUAACUCCGUGCCAGCAGCCGCGGUAAUACGGAGGAUGCGAGGGUUAUCCGGAUUUAUUGGGUUAAAAGGGUGCGUAGGCGGAAUAUCAAGUCAGCGGUAAAAAUUCGGGGCUAAACCCCGUCGUGCCGUUGAAACUGAUGUUCUUGAGUGGACGAGAAGUAUGCGGAAUGCGUGGUGUAGCGGUGAAAUGCAGAGAUAUCACGCAGAACUCCGAUUGCGAAGGCAGCAUACCGGCGCACAACUGACGCUGAAGCACGAAAGCGUGGGUAUCGAACAGGAUUAGAUACCCUUGUAGUC